rnacentral:rRNA from 1 species
GAUGAACGCUGGCGGCGUGCCUAAUACAUGCAAGUCGAGCGAACAGGCGAGGAGCUUGCUCCUCUGACGUUAGCGGCGGACGGGUGAGUAACACGUGGAUAACCUACCUAUAAGACUGGGAUAACUUCGGGAAACCGGAGCUAAUACCGGAUAAUAUAUUGAACCGCAUGGUUCAAUAGUGAAAGACGGUUUUGCUGUCACUUAUAGAUGGAUCCGCGCCGCAUUAGCUAGUUGGUAAGGUAACGGCUUACCAAGGCAACGAUGCGUAGCCGACCUGAGAGGGUGAUCGGCCACACUGGAACUGAGACACGGUCCAGACUCCUACGGGGGGCAGCAGUAGGGAAUCUUCCGCAAUGGGCGAAAGCUUGACGGAGCAACGCCGCGUGAGUGAUGAAGGUCUUCGGAUCGUAAAACUCUGUUAUUAGGGAAGAACAAAUGUGUAAGUAACUAUGCACGUCUUGACGGUACCUAAUCAGAAAGCCACGGCUAACUACGUG